CUGGAGCUAGAGGCGGAGACACAGAAUGGGAAGGGGGCCGCCGUAGGGCAAGGAAGAUGGAGACCACCCCCCCACACCCUCCAUCUCGCACAGAGCGAAGACUAGGAGGACUGGGAAGUAAAAGCUGGGAAAAGUGAGACCGAGAGUGUGAGUGACUUGACUAACAUCACACAACCAAUUAGCAACAGAACCAGAACGACUCCUGACUCCGACUCUGGGAUCCCUUUUUGGAGACGUGAAAGAGUGAAAAACUGCCGAGGCUGCACCUCAUCCAGUGGUCGCAGACAUUGCAGUCUCCAGAAGUCAGCCCCCCUGCCCCUGCCUCCAGCCCACACAGGAAUCAGGUAAGAAAUGAAACAGCAACCCCCCUUCAGCCUUGCCCUAACUCCCAUGUAACCAGGGGCCCAGCCAGAAUGAGGAGCUCCCUGCAAUAUUUAAGACAGACUUCUCUAUUUUUAGUUCUUCUUCAUCUGAAAUUAAAAUGGAAUUGGACAUGCUACAUUUUAUCUAGCAACCCCACCUCAGAACUACUGCUCAGCCACAGACCACUGCCAGGACUCCCCUCAGUGAUUCCCCGGGUCUCGCUUAAAUCAUCUGCAAAAUAGUUAGGAACAGCUGCCUCCCAGCGGGUCUCAUUAAAGGUUAGAGGGGCCAGGCAGUCAAGGCUGCCUUAUCUAAAAGUUCAUCUGGGUGAUAUCAGGUUCAAAGUCCUCCGUUGUCUCUUGAACCCUGUCACUGAUGGUCACAGAUAAGAAAAGUUUCUUUUCCUCUUCAUUGGGAAGUUUGUAGAAAGAGAUAGGUCAUCAGCUGAGUCUAGCUUUGGAGGUCCACAGCCCUGAGUCCUGACGCUGCUGCUCCCAUUGCCCGGCUGUGGGACCGUGACCUUCACCUCUCAAGCUUCAGUUUCUCCAGCUGGAGAAUGGGAAUAGUGCCUCCUUCCAGCCUUGCUAUGAGGACUAAAUGUGAUCAUGCCUGUGAAGUGCUCAGCUUGGGGCCUGGCACACAGGAAGUGCUAGCUAAGUGGUGGCUAUCUCUAUCCUAAUUUUUCUUGGCCUCUGGCUGUCCCUGCUGCCGUCCUGCAGGACCACAUCAGCCCUGGCUGAUUUCUCUUUGCUCAUCGUAUUACUGCCUGCUUGAAGAGCUCAAGCUUUUCUCAUCAAAAUGAGAAAUGAGCUCCUUUCAAGAAAAAUCCUAAGGCACAUUUUCAGACGCACUGGGAAACAGUGGAGUAACCAUCCUUAGGGAUCAUCUUUCCACUCUGUGGCCCAGCACAGAACUCUGAGUGGGUCAGAGGGUGGAUUUAAGGGGAUCGGCUCCUAGGCCUCCUCAUGCCUGAGAAGGCUGCUAUCGAUCAAGGGUGAGGGCAGUCAAGGCCAUGUCGCCCUCCCCAAACCAGUCUGUCGACCCUCCUCCCUGCUGAGAUGAAGCCUGCAUCUGGAAUCCUGCUCAGGGUACACUUAUUCCUUUCCCUGGGCUCCUCUGGCUGGAUGGUGAUGUCACAAUCAAAGUAGAGGCCACGGGGAUAGCCAGAGAUUAUGUUCCCGGGCCACCCUCACAAUGGACCUGCCCAGCACACACAGGGGCUGGAGCAUGCAAAGGCCCAAACUGUCCUCCAGGUGCUCCCAGGACCUGUCAGAUCCCCGAGCCUGGCUGCCCGUCAUCAUCCUUCCUGACUCCUGGGGCCCUGCUCUUCCCAGAGGCGGUGCUCCAGAGGUAGGGGGUGUCUCUCCAUGAAAAGUCACAUGAUGUUCCUGAGGGGAGCCCCUCGGCCCACCUCCUGCUUCACCAGCCCAGACUUGUCACAGGGGGCCUUUUGUGAAGUCACAAAGCUGGCUGCCUCCUGCCAGGACCAGAGAUCAGGACAGCCAAGGACUACUGGGCAUGACUUGGGGGGAUGGAAGUCUUCAUUCAGAAGUGGCCUUUGGACUCUUGACAGGGGUCUGGAGGGCCUCAGGUUGUAGGGAAUGAAGGACUCUGUUGGAGACCCAGGGAAGCAGGCAGUGUCUCAGAUCCUGGUCAUUGCCAGGAAGUGAGAACAGCUGGGGCUGUUUGGCUGUGGGUUUAUCCCUCAAGGGCCUGGGGUAGUGGGGAAGGAGCACAGGCCGCAGCUGAGUACAUACAGAGGUCCUGAUCACUGAUGUUCUGGGGGUUUCGUGGCAAAGAGAGGUUAAGACCUCCAUCUGAACUGGGGACCAGAUCUUCCCCUCGGCGCAAUCCAUCCAUGAUCAUCUGCUUAUUGACUCCACCUGCUUCUUGGGCAAGUGCACGUGGCCAGAGUCUGUUGGCGUUAAUAAGCAGCCUUGAUGGCACCUUCGUCUGUGGGACUGCUCAGAGGUAGAAGACUGUCAGAAGAAAUGCAAGGCCCCAGUGUUCACUCUCUCCAGAGUGUUGACAUUCCUGCCCCGAGAGGAGCCAAACCAGGAGAGGAAACGGGAGAGAGAAGAAAGCCUCACUCCAAGAAGUGUGGGAAGUCAGCCACUAUUGUCAAAGGUCAUGGUGGGUACGGGGAGGGUGGGGGGAGCCACUUGCCAGGAGCCCUGUUCUAAAAACUGAUGAAUGAAUCUCUUUCCGUGAAGUGAAUGAUUCCUGUGCCUAGCCCUAUAACUGAGUCCCUUGAACUGAGACUGUAGCACCCAGUGGAGACGACAGGUCCUGUCCUCAGGGGCCCACAGUCUAGGAGCUGAGUGACCAAGCCUGGCUGCCCCCCUUACAGAGAAGGCUAAGGUCCCAGAAAAUGGUGGGGCAGCCUGGAAUCAGGGGCCCCGCCUCCUAGGCCAAGGCCUUACAUUUCCCUGAAGGUAAGAACAGGUUAGAAUCUUGAGGGGUUUUAACAGUUGAGCCCAGACAGCUUCACACCGCCCCUGAGCGCCUGCAAGUCUGGGUCUUGGGGUCGCUCAUUCUUUGGGGAGUGGCUCUUCCCCACAUGGCUCCUCUCUUGGCCAUUUUUGUCGCUGCAUUCAAGCCAGGCCUCCAGAGAGAACCUCCUGCUGUCCACUCCAUGAGGCCCAUGGGUGUGCUGUGGGAAUAGACCUGGCCUGAGGGGUGAGUGACUAGAGGGUGACUCUGGGCGAGAUUCCCCACCCAUUCCUCAUAACUUUACUAGAUCCAUGGUUUUCAAAUUUUGGUAGCAUUAUUUCAGCACAGAAUUUUUUUUUUUUUAACCCAGUUUAAAUCAUGUCCUGUUCAUCAAGUAGGUAAAGGAACCAUAUUGGAAGUUGCAGGGCAUAGUGUGCCAGAGUCCCUACCAAUUCUGAGGAACCCACUACAAUUCCAAUAAACACAGUUUUGGAAAAACACAUGCCCCAUGACCCCCAGACCCUUCCAGGUUUGGCCUGCCCGUGAAGCUUCAAAGCCCAGGCUUCAAGGAGGAUGAGAGCAGGAAAUGCCAUGUUUAGUGGCCACCUCGAAGCCCUGACCCGAGUAGCUUCCCCACAACCGCUUCGAGUUUCUGGUUCUGACUUAUUUACAACUGCCUGUGCAUCCCCAGCCCCCCUCUUACCUGACCUUCUCCUGCGAACUUUGCUUCUCCAUUGCAGGCUCUAAAGGCAGCAUCCAGCCCUCUGCGGCAUGAAACCCACAUAGAAGUCCUAAGUCAGGAACACACCAGGCACCUUUCUGUAGCUGAGGUCAGUAGGCAGCAAACAGGAGAAUCUUCCUUCAAGCUUUGAUUUACUCUCUCCUGACACCCUUGUAGCUUCAAGAAUUGUUGUUUUGUUUGUUUGUUUUUUAAUACAAAAUGUAUCCGAUUUCAUGGAGCUGAUAGCCUCAUCUCAGAGCCGGAAAAGGCCCAGGGCCGCCUGAGUGGGGGACAAACCUUGUCCUCCCCAUUUGUCUUCCCCUAAGAUGCAGAGCAGAGGGGACAUGGGCAAGGUGGGCUCUCCACGCCACAGGCCAGCAGAGGCCUGGAUUCCAGGCGCUUUUGUUCCAGAGAAUCUCUGAGAAGCAUCACAUCCUUGGCUGCUCUCAGGAGGACCACAAAUUCAGGAGAGCAGAGUAAAGAUGCUGUGGCACUUGUUCCAGAGAAAGGCAGCUACGUGGUAGCUGGGAACACAGGCUGCUCUGCCUGCCUUCAUGGCUGGGGCCGCAGGGCAAAGAGCAGACGCUCGCUCUUGCCAGGAUGGUGAGGGAACAAACAGCGACCCUCAGUAAGUAGACAGACUAAUGGCGGUUUCUAGCCCUGGCCGCACAUUUGAAUCACCUGUGGCACUCUUCUGACCAACCAGUGCGAAGACCUUAUUAAUUCCACACCAAUCAAACCAGUAUCUUUACAGGUGGGGCGCAGCCAUCUUUAUUUUCCGAAGCUCCCCAGGUGACUAACUCACAGCCAAGGCAGAGAACCCAUGGCCUAGGAGGAGAGAUUAGCAUCAGACAGGAUUUGGGUGGAAUGGUCUUCACCCUGAGAUGGGGCCUAGUGGCUUGAAAUCCUGGAGGCCAAGUAAGCUGGGCUCUGCUCUCACUGGAAUCCGUGGGGCCCCCUCUUACCCACCUACCUUCACACCUACCUACCUGCCACACAGACUCCAGAGCACCUCUUUUGGGAAAAGCAGGACAAAAGGCUCAAGGAUCCAGCCCCAGGGAAGGAGAGUGUGCACUCUGGUUUAGAAUCUUUUCUCUUACAAGAUUUUUUGAUGGGGCCCACUUUUAACAUCUUUGUUGAAUUUGUUAGGACAUUGCUUCUGUUUUGUUUCGGUUUUUUGGCAGAGAGACAUGUGGGAUCUUAACCUCCCCUACCAAGGAUCAAACCCACACCCCCUGCAUUGGAAGCACAGAGUCUACCACUGGGCCACCAGGAAAAUCCCCUCUGGCUCAGAAUCUUGACCGUUUCUUUCUAGCUGGCCCUGACAGCCCUUCUGAGUCUCCAUCCUCAUCUGUCAAACGGGGCAGUAUUAAGUGUGGUUGCAAGGAACACCCAGCUCAUAGGAAGAGCUCCAGAGAUGGGGCUGUUAGCAGCAGUUAGCCCAAACUCAGUCCGUCAGCCCAGACAGUGCCCUAGUGAUUACCUGUCUAGACCCUUGCUUUUUGCACGAACACCUGAAAGUCCAGAGGGGAGAAAUUUUCCCAGGCCACGCAGCCAGCCAGAACCUUAAUCUCCCUCCACCCAGGCAGCUUUUCAUCAGAGCGCCCUUCCUUAGCUCCUCUCAUCCAGCAAAACUCCAAAAAUGAUCACUGGGGCUUCUAAAGAAAUAAGUGAAGAUUUUAACACAUCUUUCUAAUGUCUUCAUUGAGAUGCCGGGUUGACCUUUGGGCCAGAGGGUGUACUCAGCUCAUUUGGCCCCUUGACCCUAAUGCACUGUUUGUCUCCUGUUGCUUUUGACAUUCUUAGUACUCUGGUGCCAACUGUGUGGGCCCCUGGGUAUGUAAGAUGGAUGCCACCGGGGCCUGGGCCUGGGGUUAGGAAAGGCAGAGAGGUCAGGGAAGAGGCAUGGCUGGUUUUCCAUAUAAGCCUGUUUUGUACUCUGAAGCCACUGAACAUGUACUAAUAAAAAUAAAAUUGGUAUUAAAGAAUAAAGCUAUGCUUGUCAUUGUACAUUUCUCAAAGCCCAUAGAAUGGUCAGGCACCAAGAGUGAACCCUAACAUAAAUUGUGGACAUUGGGUAACAGUGAUGUGUCCACACAGGUUCAUUGAUUGUGAAAAGCGCACCUCUGUUUUGGGGGAUGCU